AACGAACGUUGGCGGCAUGGAUGAGGCAUGCAAGUCGCGGGAAUCCCAGCAAUGGGGGAACCGGCGUAAGGGGCAGUAAGGCGUGGGUACCCACCCCCGGGUCCGGGAUAGCCCGCCGAGAGGCGGGGUAAUACCGGAUGACCUCGGGAGAGCAAAGCUCCGGCGCCCGGGGCGGGGCCCACGUGAUAUUAGCUAGUUGGCGGGGUGACGGCCCACCAAGGCGGAGAUGUCUAGCGGGUGUGAGAGCACGACCCGCGCCACUCGCACUGAGACACUGGCGAGACACCUACGGGUGGCUGCAGUAGAGGAUCUUCGGCAAUGGGGGCAACCCCGACCGGGCGAUGCCGCGUGGGCGACGAUGGCCUUCGGGUUGUAAAGCCCUGUCGAGGGGGAGAAAGGGGAAACCCGGAUCCAUCCCUGGAGGAAGCUCGGGCUAAGUUCGUGCCAGCAGCCGCCGUAAAAC
rnacentral:rRNA from 1 species